rnacentral:rRNA from 1 species
AGCAGCCGCGGGAACACCGGCGGCCCGAGUGGUGAUCGUGAUUAUUGGGUCUAAAGGGUCCGUAGCCGGUUUGGUCAGUCCUCCGGGAAAUCUGAUAGCUCAACUAUUAGGCUUUCGGGGGAUACUGCCAGACUUGGAACCGGGAGAGGUAAGAGGUACUACAGGGGUAGGAGUGAAAUCUUGUAAUCCCUGUGGGACCACCUGUGGCGAAGGCGUCUUACCAGAACGGGUUCGACGGUGAGGGACGAAAGCUGGGGGCACGAACCGGAUUAGAUACCCGGGUAGUCCCAGCCGUAAACGAUGCUCGCUAGGUGUCAGGCAUGGCGCGACCGUGUCUGGUGCCGCAGGGAAGCCGUGAAGCGAGCCACCUGGGAAGUACGGCCGCAAGGCUGAAACUUAAAGGAAUUGGCGGGGGAGCACAACAAACCGGGUGGAGCCUGCGGUUUAAUUGGACUCAACGCCGGACAACUCACCGGGGGCGACAGCAAUAUGUAGGCCAAGCUGAAGACUUUGCCUGAAUCGCUGAGGGGAGGUGCAUGG